rnacentral:rRNA from 1 species
UACGUAGGUGGCAAGCGUUGUCCGGAAUUAUUGGGCGUAAAGAGCAUGUAGGCGGCCUAUUAAGUCGGGCGUGAAAAUGCGGGGCUCAACCCCGUAUGGCGCCCGAUACUGGUGGGCUUGAGUGCAGGAGAGGAAAGGGGAAUUCCCAGUGUAGCGGUGAAAUGCGUAGAUAUUGGGAGGAACACCAGUGGCGAAGGCGCCUUUCUGGACUGUGUCUGACGCUGAGAUGCGAAAGCCAGGGGAGCGAACGGG